CAGUAGUCACGAGUUUGAUCCUGGCUCAGAACGAACGCUGGCGGCAUGCCUAACACAUGCAAGUCGAGGGGGUAUUGGUUUUCGGACCAAGAGACCGGCGCACGGGUGCGUAACGCGUGGGAAUCUGCCCCUUGGUUCGGAAUAACAGCGAGAAAUUGCUGCUAAUACCGGAUAAUGACGUAAGUCCAAAGAUUUAUCGCCAUGGGAUGAGCCCGCGUAGGAUUAGCUAGUUGGUGUGGUAAAGGCGCACCAAGGCGACGAUCCUUAGCUGGUCUGAGAGGAUGAUCAGCCGCACUGGGACUGAGACACGGCCCAGACUCCUACGGGAGGCAGCAGUGGGGAAUAUUGGACAAUGGGCGAAAGCCUGAUCCAGCAAUGCCGCGUGAGUGAUGAAGGCCUUAGGGUUGUAAAGCUCUUUUACCCGGGAUGAUAAUGACAGUACCGGGAGAAUAAGCUCCGGCUAACUCCGUG
rnacentral:rRNA from 1 species